rnacentral:rRNA from 1 species
ACGCACGCUGGCGGCGUGCCUAAUACAUGCAAGUAGCACGCUGAAGGAGGAGCUUGCUCUUCUGGAUGAGUUGCGAACGGGUGAGUAACGCGUAGGUAACCUGCCUGGUAGCGGGGGAUAACUAUUGGAAACGAUAGCUAAUACCGCAUAAGAGUAGAUGUUGCAUGACAUUUGCUUAAAAGGUGCAAUUGCAUCACUACCAGAUGGACCUGCGUUGUAUUAGCUAGUUGGUGGGGUAACGGCUCACCAAGGCGACGAUACAUAGCCGACCUGAGAGGGUGAUCGGCCACACUGGGACUGAGACACGGCCCAGACUCCUACGGGAGGCAGCAGUAGGGAAUCUUCGGCAAUGGACGGAAGUCUGACCGAGCAACGCCGCGGGAGUGAAGAAGGGUUUCGGAUCGUAAAGCUCUGUUGUAAGAGAAGAACGAGUGUGAGAGUGGAAAGUUCACACUGUGACGGUAUCUUACCAGAAAGGGACGGCUAACUACGUG